GCGGAAGUAGCUCAGAGGUAGAGCACAACCUUGCCAAGGUUGGGGUCGCGGGUUCGAACCCCGUCUUCCGCU
rnacentral:tRNA from 1 species